rfam:Ailuropoda melanoleuca scaffold2498_8, whole genome shotgun sequence.
CUAAAGGCCCUUUUCAGGGCCGCCCACCUUCUCUCCAAAAGGGCUG